UUCACAUCUUCCCCCUUUACACCUCUUUCUCUCUCCAGUCUGUCUCUGCAUCUUAUCCACUUUCUUCUUUCUAUCAAAAAUGGCAGAAGCAGAAGAUCUUCUACCAUUACAGAAGAUCUCAAUCUCCGGACCCACAUUAACAUCAAUAAUCCAACGGUUCUCAUCAUCACCAGGAGACGUAGACGGUCUAUUAUACGCCCACAUCACAUCUUCAUCGCCAAUUCUAGAAGACGAUGUAGUUCUUGCUGAAUCGUCUUCUUCAGCUCGCUCUUCUUCCGAUUCGUCGUCUUCAACAUCCAUCGCUACAAUCACUGGUUUCUUCUGUUCUGGUACUGUUUUAAGCUUUUAUAACUCACUGGGUCAACUCAAUCUCCCCGUUUUACAAUCAUUACUCAGUAAUAAUCAGAAUCAGAAUCAGACCUUGAUCGGUUGGUUUGUAGGUAGACGGAGAACUUGUUUAAGACCGUCAAUGAGAGAAUUUUCAGUUUGUAAAUCGUUAGCUACCAAAAAUGCCCUUACGAAAUUGUUCAAUUUACCGCCUGUUUUUAUGAUUUUUACUACUCCGGUGACUGAUCAGACUAUACAUACGCAUGAUUAUCAAGCGUUUCAGUUUGGGAGGGGGAAAUUAGAGUCGAAGACGGUGGAUGUUGUGAAUAUUGGACCUGCAUUUCGUGGGCAUUAUAAUGAUUUUGCGCCGAAUUCGGUGUUUCCCUUGUUGCCAUGUGUGUUUAAAGGAGAUGGGAUGGAAAUUGGAGGUGGUGAUAGUGAGAGGAGUAAAGGUAGUUUGAGUGAGUUGAAGGAAAAGGAGAAGGUGCAGAAGAAGUUGGAUAAUGUUGUACAAGGGUUUGAGGUUGGGAGAUUGAGUAAGUUAAUGGGUUCGCAAGCGUUGAGUUAUACUCAAGAGUUGGAAGCUUUAUAUGAGGCAAUGUUGAUGAAGCUUGAAGGGUUGGCACGGGUUGUUGAGAAGAGUAAUGAGAAGGUGAUUGAGCAGGAACUCCGGAUUGGGAAAAUGAGGAACAAAUUUGCGGGGCUGGAAUGACUUGUUCAUACUUCAAGAGACUUUUUUGGGCUUUCUGAAUUUGUUCCCAAGUUCGAGCCUGUGUUGGUUGAUUGUCAAUGUGGUAGGCACAAGCUGCAUCUUUCUUAUCCGGAAAGGAAGGAACAGCGUAAAUCCACUCUCCAGGGCUGGUAAAGGACUGAAAACACAAGGCGGUUUUCAGUAAAAACAUUGUGUGUUCACCUUUACCAGCUUUUGUGCUAAAAUUGCAAGAGAUGAUCGUGGUAAGAGAUGUGGAUGGUAUCUUCUCAUUUUGUGAUCCGUAAGUUCUUGUUUUGUUUUUUGGCAAAUUGCAAGUCUAGAUUGUCAGUCUAUGUAUUCUUUUGUGGAUUCCAUUUCUAUCCAGCCUAUGGGGACAUGCAAGCUGCACUUUUCUUUCCCAGGCGAAGCGAAAGCGAAAAACGAACAUGGAAGGAGAAACAGCUUGUAAUGUGAUCAUUUUGCAUGUAUCAGUUCUGUUUAUGAAUUCCCAAUUUUUUUUUUCUUCCUUACCGCUGUACAUGCAAGAUCUAUAGAAUGGAAUACUUGAAUGUUGUAAUCAUGUUCAUGAAAGAAUAAAAUUUAAGAAGACUCAUUUAGUU